UUGUGUGUGCCUCUUAUUUAUUUGUCUUCAUGGGCAAUUCACUGAAUAAAACAAAUACUGUUACAACACAAAAAAUGAUUAUUUCCAAAGCAAUUUUGGCCACAUGUUAUGUACAUGUUACAACGUCAUAAUAAAAAGACCUCCUCACUGUUGUCUCUGUUUUAAUAAUUAAAAAAGCAUUUCACUGUUCACCAGGCAUUUACAUUGGAAUUGAAUGCUCAAGUCAAACCACCUUCACUUUUUUUUAUUAUUUGCAAAUGCAAAACUUGUCAACAAUAAAUAAUACUAUAAAAUGUACACAAAAAGAUUGACAGUCCACCACGAGUUAAAACGUUGAACAGAUUGGAUGUUUAGGAACAAGGAACUUGGGAGGAGGGUUUUCUUCUUAGCAAAAAUGUGACGGUCCAUACAAGUUACAGAAAAUGCUGAUCAUCUAUACAUUGACACUAGCAAGAUAACAAAGUUGUUGUUUCUGGUAUAUUUCUUUUUGUACAAAGAAGGGAGAGUCUUCUUUACAAGCGAGCAUCAUUGUCUUAACUGUAGAGAUUAUACAAGCAAGAGUUAAGGCAACUUCUCUGUUGUUUUUGAAAAGUAACAUGAAGUCGUAUCAUGUUUUUAUUCCGUCUGUGGACCACUCGUUUCUAUUAGGUUUGGAGUUAGUUGUCAUUGCAUAAUUCAGGCUGUUGACCAGGCCUGUAGUCCAUCAUCAAAAAAAGGAAUGCUGGAGAUUUGUCACGAGUCUGGUUGCCAUCACAAAGACUGAUUCUGUGGUCCAGGAUUUCCACCACAGUUAUUCUUUCAUUCCUUUAGUACCUGCCUCAGCCGGGGCAGUAGACUGCUUGUAACGCCAACACAGCAUGGUGCAGAUUGGAAACAGACAUAAUUGGGCACGUUGUUGUCAUCUGAGUGUGUCUGCAUGUGUGUGUGUGUGUGUAUGUGUGUGUGUGUGUGUGUGUGUGUAAAGGUGUCAAGCAGGAGAAAAAGCAGACAUGACAAUGGAUUGUGGUUAGUUCCUCAUUAAAAUCAAGCCCUCUCAACCUUUUUAAUCAGUCUGAAACUUGUGGUUAGGGAGAGCGACCUACUUAGAGAAAGUCUGGGAGAUCAGCUACUAGUUGGGCUAAAAAAAAAAUAGUAAAUUUGGCCUGAUGGUGGCACCAGAAGAAAGGUCAAGAAAAGGUCAACAAAACAAUUAGCAUUUCUUCUCCAGGAAGGGAAUUUAACAGAAUAAUUUAACAUUUUGGGAAAUAUGCUGAAUGACUUUCUUGCAGCAGCGUGCAGUUUGCAUGUUCUCCCUGUGCCUGGGUGGGUUUCCUCUUCCUCAGACCGAGGACAAAACGGCGAGUUAACUGGUGAUUCUAAAUGGGCUGUAGUUGUGAGUGUAUGCUAUUUGUCUCUUUGUGUUACUACAGAUGGUGACCUGUCCAGAGAUCAUUCUGCCUCUCACAUAGAUCCGUAUAGUUUAUGGACUGAUGGAUGAACUGUCUUCUGGAGAGUUACCGCUUUCAUAUCGGUCCAUGAAGUACUAAAAUGGAGCCCGGACACCACUUCAUUAGCUUUGGACAGAAUAAAGAGUCUUUAUGCUAAGCUACACUGCUGACUCUAAGGUUGGUUUUGGCAAGAAAGCAAACAACCGCAUUUCAGAAGAUGUUUUUUUUGAUACAAACAUGAUAUUACGGCCUGGGGAUGGCACUAUAGGAGCCUAAAAUCCUGGCCACGGCCCUGGUUCCAUAUUCCAUAUUUUUUAGACAGCAAUGACCACAUUAGCCCUAAAUUUAGUGCUGUCAGCACCCAGAAAGUGUCAAUUUUAGAACACAACAGCUCAUAAAACAGUUAAAAUAAAAUAAUGUGCUCUUCUGAUAUAAACUGUGAUUUUCAACUAAGAAAGUAUUAGAGAAAAUAUUACCUUCACCAAAACACAAAUGCAGCUGAGCAGACAAAGCAGACGAGACAGAAGCAGGUAGCUCAAACAGAGCAUUUUCACUGCCUCUGCUUGCAGAGAAAUGAAGCGGGGGCAAGGAAAUGCUCUAAGUGACACCAAAGCUGGGCCUUGGCAGGCGGCAGGCUAAGCCUAAAUGCCUGACUAACAGGCAACAGAUAGGGUUGCACACUGCUUGUUCUGAGUCAACACUCAGCUGGGCUCUCUGCUUGCACCUGCCUCACACACAAACACCUACACCAAGUGACAGCACACUCGCGAUGUGUAUGACAUGUGCGUGUGCGACAUGAGUAUGUAUGUUCGUUACGUGUGAAUAAUUGUAUGAGUAAUUGUUGGGCCUCAUUUGGACACAGAGUGAAUCACACAAUGUCUCACCGUGACAGAAUGAAAGAAAACAAAGGCUGCAGGACAAACAGUGAGACAUGGCUGCAAAGCAAUGCCCACAUCUAAUGUAAGGCCUGAUUGAGGGUGACUUUGCAUUGCCUUUUUAAAUCAGAAUUGUAUUUGUUUUUAACCCUCCUGUUGUCUUCAUUUACAGGCACCAAAAAAUAUUGUUCCAAAAAUCCCAAAAAAUCUGAAAAAAAAUUCCCCGAAUUUCUGAAAAUUUGCAAAACCUUCAGGAAGAAAAUUUCAAUAAUUCCUUAAAAGUUUCCCUUUAAAGUUUUAUUAAAAAAAAAAAAAUCCCCCAAAUUUGGCAAGAAAAUUCUUGUAAAUAUUUUCAAAAAAUAAGUAAAAAUCUUCCAAAAAAUCUUAAAAAUAUCUAAAGUGAUUCCAUAUAUAUCAGUAAAAUUUCUAAUAUUUUCCAGUGAAAUCCGCUGGAUUUUGGUUGAUUUUUUUUGUGAAUGUUCUUAAAAAACAUUUUUCACAUUUCUUUUUUUCCACCAAAAAAUGUUCAAAGAUUUCUCAAAAAUUUUGAAAAUGUGGACAUCAGAAGUUUGACUGAGAAAAUAUUUUUUUUCUCCACAUUUUCAAACUUUAAAAUGGGUCAGUUUUGACCACACGAGGGUUAAUGAGUGUGUCACAUUAUGGGCUGAGUAAACCAAAAGAGCGUUAACAGUAAUACUGCUUGUGACAUCCACUUGUGUUCUCCUGUAGCUUCCAUUAUUUUUUCUUGAUAUAAGUGCUUUUUUUUGGCAACUAUGAAUUAUCUGGUCAGAUCUUCAGUUUGAAAUCCCAUUUCCACUGAAAACAAGGUGACAUGUUUUGCUUCAACACACCAGAGGCCUUUGGCAUAUGAUAAUACCUUGUCUCACACUGGUACAAUGUACCUCCUCCAUAGGAGUGUAAACUAAAUGCUGGCUUUGUUUCAUGGCGUCGCAGCUCACAGGCUUUAGUGUAACUGGAUCAGAUCAAACUGGACGGGUGACAGUUGUGUUGCAUUUCCUUAAACUGCCCCAGAAGGCUGUGCACAGUGCAUGACAUUGAGUCAAGGACAAGACUGGCUUUAUAAUUUGGCUUUAAAAAAAAAAGUAAAUUGGCAGGAUUAGUGGACAAGCAAGACGCAACGUGCUCCAAAUUAUUGCCAAAAUGAAUUUGUCUUCAGUGUGUUUAUUCUGGAAAUAUUUCUGUUGUGUUACUUCAGCAGUUUUCCUCCAGGUCCCAAAAGAAUAAUUUAUGAAAGAGCUGGCUUCCCUCUGCCCCCUCUAAAUUCAGCGCAGUCAGUCUCAAACUAACCCAUGACAGGAACAUCACUGGUAAUGUAUUAUAGAAAAGAUUAAGUACUAGCCUGCGGUAGCGAGUACCCACUGCAGGUUGGCAGAGUUUCCACAUUGCCAUGCCAUCUCAGUUCUGUUGGUGGUGCAGUAAGCCUUGAAAUGUUGUCAGACAGCAGGGGCCUACUGCUACUAGAGCACGACUCUGUGUUUUAGUACAGGAACGGCAUUCCAAAGGGUUUAAAAAUGUCAGUAAUAGGAAUGACAGGAACAAUAUCAUGACAGCUUCAUCUCGUUCUGGUGUCACGAUAUCUCUAAAUUCACUGAAGUUUAAGAGCAAACAAAUAGAUGCCAAAGGAAAAUGGCAGAGACUGCAUGAUUCCACCCACAUACUGUUACUUGCUGGUGAAGGUUAACAGUAUCUCCAGUUUGCUGAUUCAGUAGGAAUAACUCUCAACACAACUGAAGGGUAUUUUGCGUCCAAGGACAGUUUUCCAGCCUCUCACUGACAGAUCUCUAUACACUGCCCUUAGGUCAUACUGCAUUAAUUGUAUUCAGACUUGUUUUGAGUUACCACGCACCAGAAUCACCCAGAACACUUGGUGUCAGCUUGGCAAGUACAUUUUUGCUGGUUGUGGACAAGAAUAGGCCAAGAAUUUUUUUUUUUUUUUUUUUUUUGCCAGCUCUGUGGUUCUGCAGACUUUAUGGAAUUAGUUUAGUGGCAAGUUGGGUGAGAAGAAAUGAACAAUUACUGAAGCAAGGAUUUUGUAGCUGUUGUGUUUCAACAGGCUGGACCGAAGCUUUUCACUGAGAGAUGGAAAUCUGUCCUUGGGGCUCCUUCCACGCAGCAGCUUUGAAUAUCAGACACCACAGUGCGUUCCAUAGUUAAAGACAACACAGAGAGUAGCUGUUGGAUAGGGAGGGUGGAUAGAGUCUGAGGGGGCAGUGUGGCUGAGAGUCUAAAUGAGGAGAGAAGCAGCGGGGUAAAGUCCUGCUGUUGCAGGAAUAUACUGGCUUCAGUUCAAAGGUCAAGCAGUCCUGCUGGCCACGACAUCCAGUCCGUGGAAGUGGAGUCCAUCAGAGACAAAAGGAGUCCUGUUCGCUCUACUAUGAUACACGUCGUCACGUUUGCUUUGACUCUCAUCAGUCAUCGAAGGCGAUUUGUGGUGCUGGUAGACUGGAGGAUGGGUGAGGACGAGGACAAUGUGUGUGUGUGUGUGCGUGUGUGUGUGUGUGUGCGUGCGUGUGCACGUGUGGAGUGGUGCAGUUGGGAGUGCUGGGAUUUGGAG
ensembl:lncRNA